GAGACAGCAGCCGCCGCGGUAUACGAGGGGGGCAAGCGUUGUUCGGAAUUAUUGGGCGUAAAGGGUGCGUAGGCGGUUUCGUAAGUCUGAUGUGAAAUCUAUGGGCUCAACCCAUAGUCUGCAUCGGAAACUGCGAGGCUUGAGAGUGGGAGAGGUGAGUGGAAUUUCCGGUGUAGCGGUGAAAUGCGUAGAUAUCGGAAGGAACACCUGUGGCGAAAGCGGCUCACUGGACCAUUUCUGACGCUGAUGCACGAAAGCUAGGGGAGCAAACAGGAUUAGAUACCCCUGUAGUCCCUGUCUCUUAUACA
rnacentral:rRNA from 1 species